rnacentral:rRNA from 1 species
CAGUCGUACGCUUCUUUUUCCCCGGAGCUUGCUCCACCGGAAAAAGAGGAGUGGCGAACGGGUGAGUAACACGUGGGUAACCUGCCCAUCAGAAGGGGAUAACACUUGGAAACAGGUGCUAAUACCGUAUAACAAUCGAAACCGCAUGGUUUUGAUUUGAAAGGCGCUUUCGGGUGUCGCUGAUGGAUGGACCCGCGGUGCAUUAGCUAGUUGGUGAGGUAACGGCUCACCAAGGCCACGAUGCAUAGCCGACCUGAGAGGGUGAUCGGCCACAUUGGGACUGAGACACGGCCCAAACUCCUACGGGAGGCAGCAGUAGGGAAUCUUCGGCAAUGGACGAAAGUCUGACCGAGCAACGCCGCGUGAGUGAAGAAGGUUUUCGGAUCGUAAAACUCUGUUGUUAGAGAAGAAUAAGGAUGAGAGUAACUGUUCAUCCCUUGACGGUAUCUAACCAGAAAGCCACGGCUAACUACGUGCCAGCAGCCGCGGUAAUACGUAGGUGGCAAGCGUUGUCCGGAUUUAUUGGGCGUAAAGCGAGCGCAGGCGGUUUCUUAAGUCUGAUGUGAAAGCCCCCGGCUCAACCGGGGAGGGUCAUUGGAAACUGGGAGACUUGAGUGCAGAAGAGGAGAGUGGAAUUCCAUGUGUAGCGGUGAAAUGCGUAGAUAUAUGGAGGAACACCAGUGGCGAAGGCGGCUCUCUGGUCUGUAACUGACGCUGAGGCUCGAAAGCGU